rnacentral:rRNA from 1 species
UACAGAGGGUGCAAGCGUUGUCCGGAAUCAUUGGGCGUAAAGAGCGCGUAGGCGGUCCGGUAAGUCGGUUGUGAAAACUGGGGGGCUCAACCCUCAGAGGCCGACCGAUACUGUCGGGCUAGAGUCCGGAAGAGGCGAGUGGAAUUCCUGGUGUAGCGGUGAAAUGCGCAGAUAUCAGGAGGAACACCAAUGGCGAAGGCAGCUCGCUGGGACGGUACUGACGCUGAGACGCGAAAGCGUGGGGAGCAAACAGG